rnacentral:rRNA from 1 species
AUACGGAGGGUGCGAACGUUAAUCGGAAUUACUGGGCGUAAAGCGCGCGUAGGCGGUUCGACAAGUGGGAUGUGAAAGCCCAGGGCUUAACCUUGGAACUGCAUUCCAAACUGUCGGACUAGAGUAUGGUAGAGGGAGGUAGAAUUUCCUGUGUAGCGGUGAAAUGCGUAGAUAUAGGAAGGAAUACCGGUGGCGAAGGCGGCCUCCUGGACCAAUACUGACGCUGAGGUGCGAAAGCGUGGGGAGCAAACAGGAUUAGAAACCCUAGUAGUCC